GACGAACGCUGGCGGCGUGCCUAACACAUGCAAGUCGAACGGAAAGGCCCUGCUUGCACGGUACCCGAGGGGCGAACGGGUGAGUAACACCUGGGCGACCGGCCCGGCCCUCCGGGCUAAGCCGGUGCUACUCGGGCUAAUACCGGGCAGGGGCCAUCUUGAGCGAUGUGGUUCGAAAGAUUUUUCGGUGUAGGCUGAGCUCGCGGGCUAGCAGCUUGUCGGAGGGGUAAUGGCCUACCUAGGCGGCGACGGGUAGCCGGCCUGGGAGGGUGGACGGCCACAGUGGGACUGAGAUGCGGCCCAGACUCCUACGGGAGGGAGCAGUGGGGAAAAUUGCACAAUGGGAGCAAGCCUGAUGCAGCGACGCCGCGGGGGGGAUGAAGGCCUUCGGGUUGGAGACUCAAUUCGCUAGGGACGAAGCUUUUUGUGACGGUACCUAGAGAAGAAGCCCCGGCUAACUACGUG
rnacentral:rRNA from 1 species